CUGGCUUCAGGAAUGAACGCUGACAGAAUGCUUAACACAUGCAAGUCGACUGGAAUUCACCUUCGGGUGAUAGUACGGUGGCGGACGGGUGAGUAACGCGUAAAGAACUUGCCCUCUAGACUGGGACAACUGUUGGAAACGACAGCUAAUACCGGAUAUUAUGAGAACCUCGCAUGGGGAACUUAUGAAAGGCUAUAUGCGCUAGAGGAGAGCUUUGCGUGCCAUUAGGUAGUUGGUAGGGUAAUGGCCUACCAAGCCGACGAUGGCUAGCCGGCCUGAGAGGGUGAUCGGCCACAAGGGGACUGAGACACGGCCCUUACUCCUACGGGAGGCAGCAGUGGGGAAUAUUGGACAAUGGACCAAAAGUCUGAUCCAGCAAUUCUGUGUGCACGAUGAAGGUCUUCGGAUCGUAAAGUGCUUUCAGUAGGGAAGAAAAAAAUGACGGUACCUACAGAAGAAGCGACGGCUAAAUACGUGCCAGCAGCCGCGGUAAUACGUAUGUCGCAAGCGUUAUCCGGAAUUAUUGGGCGUAAAGCGCGUCUAGGCGGUCUUUUAAGUCUGAUGUUAAAAUGCGGGGCUCAACUCCGUAUUGCGUUGGAAGCUGGAAGACUAGAGUAUCAGAGAGGUGGGCGGAACUACAAGUGUAGAGGUGAAAUUCGUAGAUAUUUGUAGGAAUGCCGAUUGGGAAGCCAGCUCACUGGAUGAAUACUGACGCUGAAGCGCGAAAGCGUGGGGAGCAAACGGGAUUAGAUACCCCGGUAGUCCACGCCGUAAACGAUGGUCGCUAAU
rnacentral:rRNA from 1 species